UUUCCGUGGGUGAACCUGCGGAGGGAUCAUUACCGAGCGACGGCCCUAUGGGUCCAACCUCCCACCCGUGUCUCUUGUACCUCGUGGCUUCGGCGGGCCCGCCUCACGCCCGCCGGGGGGCAUUUCGCCCCCGGGCCCGCGCCGGCCGAAGACACCCACGAACUCUGUCUGGAGAAUGCGGUCUGAGUGAAAUGAUAAACUAUUUAAAACUUUCAACAACGGAUCUCUUGGUUCCG
rnacentral:misc_RNA from 1 species